UACGGGGGGAGCAAGCGUUGUUCGGAUUUACUGGGCGUAAAGGGCGCGUAGGCGGCCACCGCAAGUCAGUUGUGAAAUCUCUGGGCUUAACCCGGAACGGUCAGCUGAUACUGCGGGGCUAGAGUGCAGAAGGGGCAACUGGAAUUCUCGGUGUAGCGGUGGAAUGCGCAGAUAUCAGGAGGAGCACCAACGGCGAAGGCAGCCCGCUGGGACGGUACUGACGCUAAGGCGCGAAAGCGUGGGGAGCGAACAGG
rnacentral:rRNA from 1 species